AUUGAACGCUGGCGGCAUGCCUUACACAUGCAAGUCGAACGGUAACAGGUCUUCGGAUGCUGACGAGUGGCGAACGGGUGAGUAAUACAUCGGAACGUGCCUAGUAGUGGGGGAUAACUACUCGAAAGAGUGGCUAAUACCGCAUGAGAUCUACGGAUGAAAGCAGGGGAUCGCAAGACCUCGUGCUACUAGAGCGGCCGAUGGCAGAUUAGGUAGUUGGUGGGAUAAAAGCUUACCAAGCCGACGAUCUGUAGCUGGUCUGCGAGGACGAUCGGCCACACUGGGACUGAGACACUGCCCAGACUCCUACGGGAGGCAGCAGUGGGGAAGUUUGGACAAUGGGCGCAAGCCUGAUCCAGCAAUGCCGCGUGCAGGAUGAAGGCCUUCGGGUUGUAAACUGCUUUUGUACGGAACGAAAAGCCCUGGGUUAAUACCCUGGGGUCAUGACGGUACCGUAAGGAUAAGCACCGGCUAACUACGUGCCAGCAGCCGCCGUAAAAC
rnacentral:rRNA from 1 species